UGCCUUACUUUGUACGACGCUCUCGGAUGC
rnacentral:piRNA from 1 species